UUUGUUUCCAUAUGUAAUUUCUCUUGUUUCCAUGAUUAAUUUCUCUUGACGAUACUUUUUUCUUUUUAAUUUGAAUUUAGCUCCUUCAAGGACUUUGUGCAAUUUGACCUGCUGGGAACAGAUGUGCUUGAUCAAGUCAUGGGCCAUUGGUUGAAGAAUGAGAACACUAAACUGAAGGAGACAAAUGAUGCACUCCGACGACAACUUCUAAAUGAUAAUCAACCAAACUGUGCAUGUGGAUGCGAGGAUGGGGGAGAAGACUCAGAGGAUGACAAUGGCGGCCAUUAGGCUGAUUGUUUGCUUUGUUAUCUUUUGAACUAUUGUUUGGGUUCAAUGUUAGAAUAAAUUGAUAUGGGUCGUUUGAUCUUGGUUUGGAUUUUUCUAUUUAUGGAUUGGUUUGAAUUAUGUCUGUGGAUUGUUUAUGUUAUGGAAUUUGUGUGUUGACUGUUGGUCAA